rnacentral:rRNA from 1 species
UACGUAGGGGGCAAGCGUUGUCCGGAAUCAUUGGGCGUAAAGAGCGUGUAGGCGGACAGAAAAGUCCGCUGUGAAAACUCGAGGCUCAACUUCGAGCUGUCGGUGGAAACUUUCUGGCUAGAGUCCGGAAGAGGAGAAUGGAAUUCCUGGUGUAGCGGUGAAAUGCGCAGAUAUCAGGAAGAACACCCGUGGCGAAGGCGGUUCUCUGGGACGGUACUGACGCUGAGACGCGAAAGCGUGGGGAGCGAACAGG